GUUUAUGAACACAAGUGAACCAAUUUGGACGUACAACUCCACUAUUGGUGCGAACGUCACAUGCAGAGUGGAUCAAAUGGUCAACAUAACAGAAGAAGUAAUUUACUUCAACAGAUCAAUGUAUUACAAAGGAAACAAGACAGGAUAUCCGGUGCAAGGCGAUUUUUUCCCCAACGAAACAGAUAAUCCAUAUGCGAUUUUAUAUGGUGGACCAGGGGGCUUGAAAGAAGGCGCUGAAAUCAUACUCUACGCAAGCAGCAACUACAGCUGUGCCGUGAUUAACGUCACACUAGACUUGGGCGAUUACG
rnacentral:lncRNA from 1 species